rnacentral:rRNA from 1 species
CUCAAAGGAAUUGACGGGGACCCGCACAAGCGGUGGAUGAUGUGGAUUAAUUCGAUGCAACGCGAAAAACCUUACCUACCCUUGACACGUCUAAGACCCCGAAGAGAUUUGGGGGUGCUCGAAAGAGAAUUGGAACACAGGUGCUGCAUGGCCGUCGUCAGCUCGUGUCGUGAGAUGUUGGGUUAAGUCCCGCAACGAGCGCAACCCUUGUCAUUAGUUGCUACGAAAGGGCACUCUAAUGAGACUGCCGGUGACAAACCGGAGGAAGGUGGGGAUGACGUCAGGUCCUCAUGGCCCUUAUGGGUAGGGCUUCACACGUCAUACAAUGGUCGGGACAGAGGGCAGCCAACCCGCGAGGGGGAGCCAAUCCCAGAAACCCGAUCGUAGUCCGGAUUGCAGUCUGCAACUCGACUGCAUGAAGUCGGAAUCGCUAGUAAUCGCGGAUCAGCAUGUCGCGGUGAAUACGUUCCCGGGUCUUGUACACACCGCCCGUCACACCAUGGGAGUGGGUUCUACCAGAAGUAGUUAGCCUAACCGCAAGGAGGGCGAUUACCACGGUAGGGUUCAUGACUGGGGUGAAGUCGUAACAAGG